UAAGGGGACCAAGAAGGAAGGUCUAAAAGAUGGAUGCUGCGGGAAGGUAGGGAAGCAAGGUAAGAAGUUCGGUGUUCCCCUCCGGCACACUGCCGGCCUGCAAGGGCAGACACAUGGGCUGCGACUCACAGAAUCGGGCCCUUUGGCCAAUGGUCGCUGUCCUGCCAACGAGACCAGAGAGAGCUUGUGUUGGCUAUAUAGGAGUGUUUUCUCUAAAGUAUUUGCCAUGAACGGAUGAGCGCAAGCCCAAUACUCGGGCCGCCUUUCUGAAAUGGCUGUGACGGCUGGGGGCUCUUGCCUCUUCCUUAUGGGCUCCUUAGCCAGCGUGAAGGUAGUCCAGUCCCUGGCCCUGCUCCCCUCUCCUCAGGCAGCCUCUUGGGCCCUGCUGGAUGCAAGUCCUGGACGGCAGAAGUCAGACACCACCGAGCUUGGGUUAUCUGCGGGACUUUGUUUCCCAGGAGCCCGGGGCGGUCUGCAAGAAGACCCUCCGCCAGUGCCAAAGAGUAGCGUUCUGCUGCUGCCGAGAGGUCGGUCUCCGAAGAGAUCGCUACCGUGAAAAAAAUAGAAUGAACUUCCCGGUGAGGUAGUGAGGGGUCAAGCAGGAGCUCUGGGAGACGGUGGUUUAUCAGCUGCGUGUUUUCACGUUUGGAGGAACAGAUCGUUACUGUGACUGCCUAAAGGCAGAAGGAACCCGGGGCCAAACUCCGGUACACUGUAUCAGUAGCAGCCGGUGAGCUACAUUUCCAGAGUGGAGGGGCUGCGCCUGCUCGCAGGGAAUUAUGGGACAAGUCGUAGCAAGAGAGGAAAAUGCUCUUGUGGCACCAGUCGCUCCUCCUCGGUCUAACGUUAGAGCUACAUGGAAAUAAAAGGGAGACAACCUAUUGGUGUAGCUGGGGAUGUCUGAAGCCUGGAGGAGACUGAGGGGAAAUAGAAUCAUGGAAAGGCACAGAGGAUAGAGCGCCGGACCUAGAGUCAGAAAGACAAGUUCAAAUCCAGCCUCGGAAAUGUCCUAGCUGGGUGACUUGGGAAGACAGAACCAAAAUGGCAGCAGUUAGAGGAGGCGGAUUUGGACUCCAUAUAAUGAAGAACUUCUUAACAAUGAGAACAAUGAAGAUGCUUAGUCUAACAAAAUCAGGCAAUGUCUGUAACCAUGCUUGAAGAUUGAAUGUUUAGGAGGAUGGCCUUUGAUAGAGAAAUUGACAAAUCAGAAACAGCUGACAGACCCCUGGGCUGUCCUAAGUCAAGCUUAGGCUACAAUUGGUACAGAGGAGACGCAGGAAAGGGAGGUAGAAUCGUCUAGGGAUUUUUCUGCAUCACUUCCUCUCCUCUGUCUCUUUUUCCUUGGAGAUGUGGCUCUGGCUGGCAGCGUGCUGUGUCCUGACAUCUUGGGCGUGGUGGCAGCUAAUUGUCUGGGUUUUGGUGGUGAGUUUGCCCUUGAGCUAAUUCAGGUUCAGGCAUCUUGGCUGAGCCCUCUUGGAGUUCAGGCUGGUUCCUUCCUCCUUUACUCUCCAAAACCUUAUCUUCCUAAAGCCUCUAAUCUUUACCCCCACCCCCACCCCAGGCACAAGCCAGGCGGGAGAAAUCCUACAACCUUUCCUUCUCCCUUCUUCUUAAUUUCUUUCCACUAUGUUAAUUAAAUCACCAUAAAAUUCCAGCUGUCUUGGGUAUUUUAUUUGGGAUAUCCCAUGGCGACAAAUAGCUAAUAUAGUUUAGGUCACAAUGUUAAAUUUAUCCUUUACAGUUUUGGCUGACCACAUCGGUUGUGAUGAAAUACCCUCAAUCUUAACUUUCCUAAACCUUUUCUCUAUUGUGCCUAUCCCUAAGUUCAACUUUUAAUAGCUUAUUUGGAUCAGCUGUAGAGGUAAGUAAAUUUGGAUUUUUUUCCCUCUCUCCUUAAAUUAGAUAGAAUACGACUGUUUUUCUUUUUUUUUUAAAUCCAAAGCGCAGGACUGGGAAAGCUGUUUAGCUAUGAAUCCCCUUUCCCUCAGGGAACAACUGCCUGGAUUACUCUUAAUUAGGAGUGAGGGAGACCUAAAGAGAGUUUUGGCCUUGCCCUGCUCCCCAUGUGUUUUGUGA